UACGUAGGGGGCAAGCGUUGUCCGGAUUCAUUGGGCGUAAAGAGCGUGUAGGCGGCCAGGUAGGUCGGUUGUGAAAACUGGAGGCUCAACCUUCAGAGGUCGAACCGAAACCAUCUGGCUAGAGUCCGGGAGAGGAGAGUGGAAUUCCCGGUGUAGUGGUGAAAUGCGUAGAUAUCGGGAGGAACACCAGUGGCGAAGGCGGACUACCUGGCCUGUUCUUGACGCUGAGG
rnacentral:rRNA from 1 species